AUAGAACGGCAGCUCUGUGUUUUUAGCAAUUCAGAGAAUCAGAAUUACAAGGUUGCAAAAACUGUGAAGUUGUGAUCAUUUAAUGCUAACCGGUCCAUCUAUUAGUAACAGCUUAAUAGGCGUUGGUUAAGAACCUGGACGGCACCUUGCACUUUAAAACUCUAUUGUUAACCUAUGAUGAUGUGGGCAUACCAUACUUGCGAGACCACCAUCAUUCCAUGCUUGACCGCUGGCUCAAACUUUGUUAGGGAUUAAUGAGAACUUGGGGAGAUGAUGUGGCCGAUGCAUUACUGUUGCCAUAUCCAAGAUUCAUGGCAAUGGUUAUAAGAACAAUUCAAAUUCUGCAUCGAGAGGUACCGUAAUAAUCACCGACUGCAAGUGGGUUCAUCAUGUUUGGUUCCCAUUUAUUAUUCUGGUGGUGAUUGAGAAUUGAUUACACUGUGUGACUUGUGGUCCUAGGAUUCAUGGCAUCAUUUCAAGUCGGACAUGUUUUGAUUAUUCUUCAUUCAUACAUUCUGAUUCCUGUGUAGAAUUUGAGUUCUGACUCGCUCAACAUAGCCAAGCUUGUAAAGAUCAGGUUUGAGAAGAAAGUGUUACUGCACAGAUUAGGAUCGAAUACAACCACCAGAUGGUUGUAAAUACUGAUGAUACUUGAAAUUGAUGCGCACACGUUCAACACUCUCAAGUUGGAGCAUUCAAGAACACCAACUUGCUAAGAAAGGGAUGAAGGACUUACCUUCUCACAUGGUUUUAUUUUAAUUGUGUGAAUAAGGUUAAAAUUGAUUCUAUAAAGUUGAAAAAGAGAGACAAAUAAUUGUGGCCUUCUUAGAAUGAAACUUUUUCGAUCAGUGCCAGCCACCCCCCUCUUGUGUGAAUCAGCAAACAUUUGUGUCCUUUCUUUUCUACGGUGAGGCCCUGAGUCUUGCUUGACUUGAAAACAGUACAAUAAUUGAUCCCCAAGACAAAUAUCUGACCUGAGUACACAUAUUUAGUGAAUUCUUGCUCAAGGAGUAUGGAGGACCUGGAACAUUGUUGGUGGAUCCCUUCACUGAUAUGUUAGUUGCUCUCAAGGAGAAGGAACUACCUGGAGCACCUUUGGCUGCAAGGGCAACACUGUUAUGGGCUCAAAACUAUUUGGAUCAAGACAGGGAUGUUUGGAAUUCGAAAUCGUCAAAGUGAUAUUUCAUUUUGCGAAUCCAGAGAGUCUAAAUUUGACUUUGUAAUGUUGUAUUCUCCUGUAUAUAUAUAUAAAACUCACAAAAAUGGUGAAGACUGAAGAA